rnacentral:lncRNA from 1 species
CUUCAGGCUCCACUUCUUCCAGACUCCUUUUAAUGCUGGAAUUUUGACCGCCUCCCAUGAAUCAGAAUGUUCUUAGUGGCAUCUAGAAUGCUAAAUGCUUCCCAGAAGGUUUUCAAUUGACUUUGCCCAGACUCUUCAGAGGAAUCACUAGUUAGGGCAGCUACAGCCUUAUUAAAUGUAUUUCUUAAAUAAAUAAGACUUAAAAGUCAAAGUGACUCCUUGACCCAUGGACUGCAGCAUAGAUGUUGUGGUAGCUGGCACGAAGACAACAUGAACCUCCUUGUACAUCUCCAUCAGAACUCUUAGGUGACCAGGUAACAUUGUAAUGGGCAGUAAUAUUUGGAAAGAAAUUUGAGCAGGUCUCAACCAUAGGCUUAAAUAUUCAAUAAACCAUGCUAUAAACAGAUAUGCUGUCAUCUAGGCUUUGUUAUUCCACUUCUAGAGCAUAGGCAGAGUAGAUUUAACAUAAUUCUUAAGGGCCUUAAGAUUUUUGGACUGGUAAAUAAACUCUGACUUCAACUUAAAGGCACCAACUACACUCGCUGGCAUUGAACUUCUUCUCCCCAGCUAUGAAGUCCUAGAUGACAUCUCUUCUAAUAGAAGACCAUUUCAUCUUCACAAACUCAGUUGUUUAGUGUAGUCGCCUUCAGUGAUCUUAGCUAGAUCAUCUGGACAACUUCCUGCUGUUGUUGUCCCUUGCACUCUGACGUUAAUGGGGAUAGUUUCAUGAACCAACCUCUGCUUGCUUCCAGCUUUUCUUCUGUAGCAUCCUCACCUCUCAGUCUUCGAAGAAAGAAUUGAAGAAUUAAUUAGGCUUUGG